rnacentral:rRNA from 1 species
UACGUAGGGCGCAAGCGUUGUCCGGAAUCAUUGGGCGUAAAGCGCGCGUAGGCGGUCAGGCAAGUCCGGUGUGAAAGUCAUAGGCUCAACCUAUGGAUGCCGCUGGAAACUGCCUGACUUGAGUCCGGAAGGGGCGAGUGGAAUUCCUGGUGUAGCAGUGAAAUGCGCAGAUAUCAGGAGGAACACCAAUGGCGAAGGCAGCUCGCUGGAACGGUACUGACGCUGAGGCGCGAAAGCGUGGGGAGCGAACAGG